rnacentral:rRNA from 1 species
AUUGAACGCUGGCGGCAGGCCUAACACAUGCAAGUCGAGCGGAUGAAGGGAGCUUGCUCCUGGAUUCAGCGGCGGACGGGUGAGUAAUGCCUAGGAAUCUGCCCGGUAGUGAGGGAUAACGUCCGGAAACGGGCGCUAAUACCGCAUACGUCCUGAGGGAGAAAGUGGGGGAUCUUCGGACCUCACGCUAUCAGAUGAGCCUAGGUCGGAUUAGCUAGUUGGUGGGGUAAAGGCCUACCAAGCCGACGAUCCGUAACUGGUCUGAGAGGAUGAUCAGUCACACUGGAACUGAGACACGGUCCAGACUCCUACGGGAGGCAGCAGUGGGGAAUAUUGGACAAUGGGCGAAAGCCUGAUCCAGCCAUGCCGCGUGUGUGAAGAAGGUCUUCGGAUUGUAAAGCACUUUAAGUUGGGAGGAAGGGCAGUAAGUUAAUACCUUGCUGUUUUGACGUUACCAACAGAAUAAGCACCGGCUAACUUCGUG